rnacentral:rRNA from 1 species
CCUACGGGAGGCAGCAGUGAGGAAUAUUGGUCAAUGGCCGGAAGGCUGAACCAGCCAUGCCGCGUGAAGGUCAGUGCCCUAUGGGCGUUAAACUUCUGUUGUGCGGGAGCAAUAAUGGUCAUGCGUGUCCAGACGAGAGUACCGUACGAAUAAGCAUCGGCUAACUCCGUGCCAGCAGCCGCGGCAAUAAUGGGGAUGCAAGCGUUAUCCGGAUUUAAUGGGUUUAAAGGGUGCGUAGGCUGGGAGGUAAGUCAGAGGUGAAAUGCCCCCGCUCAAAGGGGGGAAGUGCCAUUGAUACUGCCAUGCUGGAAUGCGGAUGCGGUGGGAGGAAUGUGAGGUGUAGGAGUGAAAUGCAUAGAUAUCA